rnacentral:rRNA from 1 species
UACGUAGGGUGCGAGCGUUGUCCGGAAUUAUUGGGCGUAAAGAGCUCGUAGGCGGUGUGUCGCGUCGGCCGUGAAAACCUGGGGCUUAACUCUGGGCGUGCGGUCGAUACGGGCAUCACUAGAGUUCGGCAGGGGAGACUGGAAUUCCUGGUGUAGCGGUGAAAUGCGCAGAUAUCAGGAGGAACACCGGUGGCGAAGGCGGGUCUCUGGGCCGAUACUGACGCUGAGGCGCGAAAGCUAGGGGAGCGAACGGG